UACGUAGGGACCAAGCGUUGUUCGGAUUUACUGGGCGUAAAGGGCGCGUAGGCGGCAUGACAAGUCACUUGUGAAAUCUCCGGGCUUAACUCGGAACGGUCAAGUGAUACUGUCGCGCUAGAGUGCGGAAGGGGCAAUCAGAAUUCUUGGUGUAGCGGUGAAAUGCGUAGAUAUCAAGAGGAACACCGGUGGCGAAGGCGGGUCUCUGGGCCGAUACUGACGCUGAGGAGCGAAAGCGUGGGGAGCGAACAGG
rnacentral:rRNA from 1 species